CCUGGCUCAGAACGAACGCUGGCGGCGUGCCUAAGACAUGCAAGUCGUACGAGAAAGGGGCUUUCGGCCCUGAGUACAGUGGCGCACGGGUGAGUAACGCGUGGGCAACCUACCUCGAAGUUGGGAAUAACCCGGGGAAACCUGGGCUAAUGCCGAAUGAGCCUGCGAGAUCCUCGGAUCAUGUGGGGGAAAAGAUGGCCUCUGCUUGCAAGCUAUCGCUACGAGAUGGGGCCCGCGUCCCCAUUAGCUAGUUGGUGAGGUAACGGCUCACCAAGGCUCCGAUGGGUAGCUGGUCUGAGAGGACGAUCAGCCACACUGGAACUGAGACACGGUCCAGACUCCUACGGGAGGCAGCAGUCGGGAAUCUUGGGCAAUGGGCGCAAGCCUGACCCAGCGACGCCGCGUGAGGGAUGAAGGCCUUCGGGUCGUAAACCUCUGUCAGGAGGGAAGAACGUCGGCGAGGUGAACAAUCUCGUUGGUUGACGGUACCUCCAAAGGAAGCGCCGGCUAACUCCGUGCCAGCAGCCGCGGUAA
rnacentral:rRNA from 1 species